rnacentral:rRNA from 1 species
UACGUAGGUGGCAAGCGUUGUCCGGAUUUACUGGGCGUAAAGAGCGCGCAGGCGGUCGAGUAAGUCGAGUGUGAAAGCCCCCGGCUUAACUGGGGAGGGUCAUUCGAUACUGUUCGACUUGAAGGCAGGAGAGGGCAGCAGAAUUCCCGGUGUAGUGGUGAAAUGCGUAGAUAUCGGGAGGAAUACCAGUGGCGAAGGCGGCUGCCUGGCCUGUUCUUGACGCUGAGGCGCGAAAGCUGGGGGAGCAAACGGG